rnacentral:rRNA from 1 species
ACAACUUUCAACAACGGAUCUCUUGGCUCUCGCAUCGAUGAAGAACGCAGCGAAAUGCGAUAAGUAAUGUGAAUUGCAGAAUUCAGUGAAUCAUCGAAUCUUGAACGCACCUNGCACCCUUUGGUAUUCCGAAGGGUACGCCCGUUUGAGUGUCAUUG